GUGGGGAAAUGAUUUUUCUUAUUUAUCAGGGGUCUUAUGACCAGCAAAAUGCAACAGAAGGUCGCUACUCAUUGAAUUUCCAGAAGGCAAGAAAAUCCGCCAACCUUGUCAUCUCCGCUUCACAACUGGGGGACUCAGCAAUGUACUUCUUUCCUAUCACAGUGGAACACCGGUAACCAGUUCUAUUUUGGGACAGGGACAAGUUUGACGGUCAUUCCAAUAUCCAGAACCCUGACCCUGCCGUGUACCAGCUGAGAGAC
rnacentral:lncRNA from 1 species